rnacentral:tRNA from 2 species
UUAGUAUAGCUUAUCUAAAGCAUUUAACUGUUAAUUAAAAGAAAGAUUAAUUUAAAUCUACUAAA